rnacentral:rRNA from 1 species
UGAGUGAAACGUUGCGGCGUGUCUAAUACAUGCAAGUCGAACGGAGUGCUAGCAAUAGUACUUAGUGGCGAACGGGUGAGUAACGCGUUGGUGACCUGCCCCGAAGAGGGGGAUAACAGUUCGAAAGGACUGCUAAUACCCCAUGAUAUCUCGCUGGUUAGAGUGGUGAGAUGAAAAGAGCAAUCUGCUUUGGGAGGGGCCUGCGUCCCAUCAGCUAGUUGGUAGGGUAAAAGCCUACCAAGGCGAAGACGGGUAGGGGGCCUGAGAGGGUGAUCCCCCACACUGGCACUGAAACACGGGCCAGACACCUACGGGUGGCAGCAGUAGGGAAUAUUGCACAAUGGGCGAAAGCCUGAUGCAGCAACGCCGCGUGCGCGAAGAAGGCCUUCGGGUUGUAAAGCGCUUUUCGGGGAGGUGAGGAAGGACAGUAUCCCCGGAAUAAGGCUCGGCUAACUACGUGCCAGCAGCCGCGGUAACACGUAGGAGCCAAGCGUUAUCCGAAUUCACUGGGCGUAAAGCGCGUGUAGGCGGCUCGGUAAGUUGGAUGUGAAAUCUCCUGGCUCAACUGGGAGAGGACGUUCAAUACUGUCGGGCUAGAGGACGGCAGAGGGAGGUGGAAUUCCCGGUGUAGUGGUGAAAUGCGUAGAUAUCGGGAGGAACACCAGUGGCGAAGGCGGCCUUCUGGGCCGAACCUGACGCUCAGACGCGAAAGCUAGGGGAGCAAACGGGAUUAGAAACCCCGGUAGUCCUAGCUGUAAACGAUGUAGACUUGGUGUAGGUGGUGUAAAAGCCAUCUGUGCCGAAGCCAACGCGAUAAGUCUACCGCCUGGGGACUACGGCCGCAAGGUUA